AAGGUGAUCUACAGUCCGUAUGUAAACAAAGCCUUUGUUUACAUUUUUGUGUCCAAAAUAUUGAGCUUUAUUCGACAACUAUUUAUAUUUUUAAGCUUCUAGAGUAUAAUAAAUGAUCAAGAAACAACAAUCAGGCUUUUCAAGAACUCAAAACAUAGUUAAACUGUUUGUAUCAUAAAAAGUGGGCUCAUUUGUGCACAUGCGCAGAUCGGACUGUAGAUCACCUUUAAGUUGUAGGUUCGAAUCCCACCGUGGCCGGGCAUAUUUUUCAAGCUCGCCCGGUGUGGAUACACACUCAGAGUAACAUCGCAAGUGUCAUAUUCACCUGAGUACACAACACCAACACAGAAAAACCUUUAAUCUAUAAGAAUAUGUAAUUUUCUUUUAGUUUAAAGAGGUGUGCAACGAAAAUCGUUUUCUAGCCAUCUUUUGGGGCACUAGACGACGGCCUAAUAUUAACAUUUUAAAAAGGGGGAGGGAUAUAGUGUUCCUGUUAUUUACUUCAUUAGUUUAUGGACUACUGUUGACAUUAAGGGGACCGAUAUGGAUAUAGGGCAAAAAGGGCGUAGAGAACAAAACCUCGUGGGCAAGAGUUUUAGAAAGGGUUUUCAUUUCAGGGCAAUAUAUAUUCUGCCGUAUGUGUUUUGGACUGUAUAUUAAAAGCAAGGGUGGGUAGUAGCGAAGUAGUUGUAGUUCGCUACUGUAGCGAACUACAAUUUUCAAGUAGCCAGUAGUUUUUUACUACUUUUUUAAAACAGUAGUUGUAGUUAUAGCGAACUACAUUUUGCCUAAAAGUAGCCAAAUAGUUGACUACAUUUCAAACUGCGAAUCGCUAUUCGCUACUUUUUAAAAUUGUUAGCAACCGUUCAUAGAAUAGAAUGAUAUUAAGACACGGUUUGCUUAAAAGAUUAUUUUAUACAGCAAAGAUUAUUUUAGCGCAAUGAAAAGUGGCACUCCUGAACACCGUAGUGCUUACAAAAAUGUUGCUUUAAUUGACCCUUUUUGUUUACUGUUACUACUCGUAAGUCGAUUUGUUAUAGGUUAUAUUACAGCCUGAGCUAGUGGAUGCUCCAAAUACCGUUUCACUAAAAAAUAUAGAGUAGCGAAAUAGCGAAAUAGUUCGCUACAUUUUUUAAGCAGUAGCUGUAGUCAGUAGCGAACUACCUUUGUUCAAAAGUAGCAGUAGUUGUAGCUGACUACAUAUUUCUGAAGUAGCUGUAGUUAUAGCGAACUACAAAAAUUUUGUAGUCAACCCACCCUUGAUUAAAAGUAGGAUACUAUAACUGGCGACGAGGGGACGGAGUUGUUCUUAUUAAACGCGUGCUAAAAUGGCGAAAGUACUGGAUCUGUACAGAAAAUACAACUUUUCAGCUUGGGGGAAACUUCAAGAAUUAGUCAUCGUUGGCGAAAAUGGAUAAAAUCAUUUGAAUACUACAUAGCAGCCUCGGGAAUCACCGACAAGAAACAGCAAAAUGCCAAAGAAACACUAGAAGACACUGGCAACGAUCUCGACACCACCAUAACAAAGUUAACCACCUACUUCGAGCAACAAAAGAACACUGUCUCCUUUCGAGCGUCAUAAUUUUCGACAGACAACACAAUACACGGAGAAACGAUCGAACAGUUAGCUAUCCGUUUAAAACACCAGGUAAAAUUCUGCGAAUAUAACAACCUCAACGAUAUGAUCCGUGACCAAAUUAUCGAACAUUGUUCGUCUAGUCGUUUGAGGCGACGAUUACUUUCAGAAAUCGAAAUCGGCCGUUCGUUCGAAGCAUCCGAACGACAAACUUCGCAAAUAGAAGCAGACAGCUUAAAAACCAUUGACCUGGGCGUAAAUGCAAUACGUUCGAAAGCUACACCACCAGCCACCUCGUUUUCCAACAUCAACGCAAACAGGUCGCUUGAGUAUUGUUUGUUAUUGUUGUGGAAAUGCUGGUCACCGAGCUAAAAUCCUCGUUGUCCUGCCAAAGGAAUGUCCUGCAAUAAUUGUCA